UAACUAUUGGCUUCACCAUUCUCUGAUUCC
rnacentral:piRNA from 1 species